rnacentral:rRNA from 1 species
CAUUCUGAGCGGUGGAUCACUCGGCUCACGGGUCGAUGAAGAGCGCCGCGAGCGGCGUUACUCAAUGCGACAUGCAGAAUCAUUGAGCAUCAGACACUCGAAUGCACAUUGCGGCAACGGGACAUU